CCUACGGGAGGCAGCAGUAAGGAAUAUUGGACAAUGGUCGCAAGACUGAUCCAGCCAUGCCGCGUGCAGGAUGACAGCCCUAUGGGUCGUAAACUGCUUUUGUGCGAGAAAAAACCCCUCUACGUGUAGAGGGCUGAUUGUAUCGUAAGAAUAAGGAUCGGCUAACUCCGUGCCAGCAGCCGCGGUAAUACGGAGGAUCCAAGCGUUAUCCGGAUUCAUUGGGUUUAAAGGGUGCGUAGGCGGAAUGAUAAGUCAGUGGUGAAAGCCUGCAGCUUAACUGCAGAACUGCCAUUGAUACUGUCAAUCUUGAGUACAUUUGAUGUGGGCGGAAUGUGUCAUGUAGCGGUGAAAUGCUUAGAUAUGACACAGAACACCGAUUGCGAAGGGCAGCUCACAAACUAGUAACUAGACGCUGAGGCGACGAACGACGUAGGGUAGUACAACAGGAGUUAGUAUACCUCGGUAGUCCACGCUGUAAC
rnacentral:rRNA from 1 species